rnacentral:rRNA from 1 species
CGCACAAGCGGUGGAGCACGUGGUUUAAUUCGAUGCAACGCGAAGAACCUUACCUGGUCUUGACAUCCACGGAAGUUUUCAGAGAUGAGAAUGUGCCUUCGGGAACCGUGAGGCAGGUGCUGCAUGGCUGUCGUCAGCUCGUGUUGUGAAAUGUUGGGUUAAGUCCCGCAACGAGCGCAACCCUUAUCCUUUGUUGCCAGCGGUCCGGCCGGGAACUCAAAGGAGACUGCCAGUGAUAAACUGGAGGAAGGUGGGGAUGACGUCAAGUCAUCAUGGCCCUUACGACCAGGGCUACACACGUGCUACAAUGGCGCAUACAAAGAGAAGCGACCUCGCGAGAGCAAGCGGACCUCAUAAAGUGCGUCGUAGUCCGGAUUGGAGUCUGCAACUCGACUCCAUGAAGUCGGAAUCGCUAGUAAUCGUGGAUCAGAAUGCCACGGUGAAUACGUUCCCGGGCCUUGUACACACCGCCCGUCACACCAUGGGAGUGGGUUGCAAAAGAAGUAGGUAGCUUAACCU